GGACUUUGGUAGUAUUUGGAAGGGUAGCAAACUUAUUUUGAAGCACGCCUUAUAGGAAUGAAUUGAAUCAACAAUGUGAGGGGUUGCUCCUGAAUUUUAUAUUCAAGGAGUGGAAGAAGAAAUAGUAUGAGGUAAAAGUGAAUAGCUCAUACCAAUAUUGAAAUCCACUUGAUUAAUAGUGCCAGCACUGGUGCGUGCCAUAUGAUUCCGGCAAAAUUUGGCUAAUUCCUCCCAUAAACCCUUGAUUUUGGAGUAGUAAAUUACUAACAGAAAGCGAACCUUGAGUGCAGGUGAUCAAAUCCUUGUGUAGAUGAAACGUGC
rnacentral:lncRNA from 1 species